rnacentral:rRNA from 1 species
GCCAUCGCUCAACGGAUAAAAGGUACUCCGGGGAUAACAGGCUGAUACCGUCCAAGAGUUCAUAUCGACGGCGGUGUUUGGCACCUCGAUGUCGGCUCAUCACAUCCUGGGGCUGAAGUAGGUCCCAAGGGUAUGGCUGUUCGCCAUUUAAAGUGGUACGCGAGCUGGGUUUAGAACGUCGUGAGACAGUUCGGUCCCUAUCUGCCGUGGGCGCUGGAGAACUGAGGGGGGCUGCUCCUAGUACGAGAGGACCGGAGUGGACGCAUCACUGGUGUUCGGGUUGUCAUGCCAAUGGCACUGCCCGGUAGCUAAAUGCGGAAGAGAUAAGUGCUGAAAGCAUCUAAGCACGAAACUUGCCCCGAGAUGAGUUCUCCCUGAGACUUAGAGUCUCCUGAAGGAACGUUGAAGACGACGACGUUGAUAGGCCGGGUGUGUAAGCGCAGCGAUGCGUUGAGCUAACCGGUACUAAUGAACCGUGAGGCUUAACCUUACAACGCCGAAGCUGUU